AUUUUCAUCACAUUACUUCUUUCUUUGAAAUAGUCCAGAGUCAUUCUGCCUGCUAAAAUAUGAGCCCAUGAUAUAUGAAAUCCUUAUUUAAGAAUCUAUCCAUGGGCAAAGCAAAGCUUCCUAAAUCUUGGUUCAGAAUCUCUUAUGUUCUAACUUUCUAAACCUGUAAUUUGCUGAGAUUAUUUUCCACCAUUAUUGAAGCAAUAUAUCUUCAAAAUCAUUCUUUUGAGACCAACUGGUGGUUAAACUCCAAAUUCAGAACAUGCCAGGGACAUUGCCAGUCCCCUUUGUCUCAACUUACAAUUUAUAAACAAUAGAAAGGAUUUAGUUUAUUUAUUCUUUCAUUCAUUCAAUUUAUGUCUUUCUUUGAGGUGCAUAUACUUGUCUAUGCUCUCUUACAUUUGUCUUGGUCGUAGUCUGUCUUAAAUCAUAAGUUCCUAUACGACAGGGAUCAUGCCUAUUUAAUUUACUUUUAACACAUUUAACCCAAUGCAAUGAAAAUAUGUGAACUUAACACAUGAAUCUUGAUGAUGACAGUGAUUAUAAUAACUUAUGUUGUUUCUCUUUUGCUUCUCAGUGGCACUUGCCAGCAAUUCACAUAGGCUGACAGUUAUGAAUCUCAAGGAAGUCACUCUCUUAUCUUUCCCUACUUCGAUGGCAUUUUAUCUAUUCUCUCACUAUCAAAAUACUACAGUAAUUCAACUUUGGGUAGAUGUGCUGCCUGAUGCCCUCACCUAUGUGAAAUAAAGGAGGCAAGUGUGUUAAAGAGCUACUAGCAGGUGAACCAGGUAUGGCAAAAAACAUGCAUUUCAUUCAUGAAAGGUAACUGUCAACUUCACUCAGAUAUUAUUUAUUCAGUGUUUACACAAAUAUAACAAAAUUAGAACUGCAGUCGUUUCAAACUAGAGAAGGUGUAUUUACUCUGAAAAAAGAAGUGAGGCCUGUUAGCUUUGUAGCAAAAGCAGGGACUCGAAAUGAACCUAUAUGAAACAGACAAAACUGAAAGGGCAAUUUGGUCAUUGUUCAUUUUCUGAAAGCACUUCACCUUUCAGUUAGUUUCCAAGGCAGCUUUGCAGUACAUCACAGUUAAAUAAUUGAAAUUUUCUGUACAAGCUUGGAGUCUACAAGGAUAAGUCAAAUAAUUACAAUUUGUAUUUUUUUAGUGAUGUUGCAGGGAAUAAAGUACUUUCCCAACCAGACAUCCUACUCUUUUUGUCAAUGAGGUCAU
rnacentral:lncRNA from 1 species